AGGGAAUAUUGGUCAAUGGAUGCAAGUCUGAACCAGCCAUGCCGCGUGCAGGAAGAAGGCCUUCUGGGUUGUAAACUGCUUUUGUCAGGGGAUAAAAUUUCCUUGCGAGGAAAAUUGAAGGUACCUGGCGAAUAAGCCACGGCUAACUACGUGCCAGCAGCCGCGGUAAUACGUAGGUGGCAAGCGUUGUCCGGAUUUAUUGGGUUUAAAGGGUGCGUAGGCGGCCUAUUAAGUCAGUGCUGAAAUAUCCCGGCUUAACCGGGAGGGUGGCAUUGAUACUGAUGGGCUUGAGUAGAGUUGAGGUUGGCGGAAUUGACGGUGUAGCGGUGAAAUGCUUAGAUAUCGUCAAGAACACCUAUUGCGAAGGCAGCUAACUAAGCUCAAACUGACGCUGAGGCACGAAAGUGUGGGGAUCAAA
rnacentral:rRNA from 1 species